rnacentral:rRNA from 1 species
AUCGCAAGACCUCGUGCUCAUAGAGCGGCCGAUAUCUGAUUAGCUAGUUGGUGAGGUAAAGGCUCACCAAGGCUUCGAUCAGUAGCUGGUCUGAGAGGACGACCAGCCACACUGGGACUGAGACACGGCCCAGACUCCUACGGGAGGCAGCAGUGGGGAAUUUUGGACAAUGGGGGCAACCCUGAUCCAGCAAUGCCGCGUGAGUGAAGAAGGCCUUCGGGUUGUAAAGCUCUUUUGUCAGGGAAGAAACGGGAUGUCCUAAUACGAUGUCCUAAUGACGGUACCUGAAGAAUAAGCACCGGCUAACUACGUGCCAGCAGCCGCGGUAAUACGUAGGGUGCAAGCGUUAAUCGGAAUUACUGGGCGUAAAGCGUGCGCAGGCGGUUAUGUAAGACAGGUGUGAAAUCCCCGGGCUUAACCUGGGAAUGGCAUUUGUGACUGCAUAGCUAGAGUGUGUCAGAGGGGGGUAGAAUUCCACGUGUAGCAGUGAAAUGCGUAGAGAUGUGGAGGAAUACCGAUGGCGAAGGCAGC